UCUCUGCACACUGGAAGUGUCUGUGUUUCACUGUGCGGGAGAAAAUGGGCCUGAUGCCGUGUACGAGUGGAGGGUCAGUAGCCAGAACCAGGGACAUCGGACCGUCUCCAAUCACACUGGGAAAUAUCUGGCUCUGAAAUAUUUAUCCAGAAACAUCUCCUGUACUCUGAAAAUCGGCAACUUCAGCAGUCGGAGUGAGACCUCUUCCCUCUCUUGUGAAGAGUCAGGUCUGCCUGGUCCAGAACUGAAGUGGUCUGUCAGUAUGGAGGUCCUUGUCAUGCUGGGCCUUCUGUGCUUCAUGAUGUGUGGAAUUUCAGUCGCUGUACAAAUAUGCCUCAAGCAACGGAAUUCAAAUGUAACAUCUGAGGCAUGCAGUCUCUCUGUUGACAAGGCCCAGGAUGAUGGAAUUGUGUACAGUGAAGUCAGAUACAUUUGCAAAUAACUUUGUCCCUUUUAAUAAAUC